rnacentral:rRNA from 1 species
AUUGAACGCUGGCGGCAGGCUUAACACAUGCAAGUCGAGCGGAAACGAUGGUAGCUUGCUACCAGGCGUCGAGCGGCGGACGGGUGAGUAAUACUUAGGAAUCUACCUAGUAGUGGGGGAUAGCUCGGGGAAACUCGAAUUAAUACCGCAUACGACCUACGGGAGAAAGGGGGCAACUUGUUGCUCUCGCUAUUAGAUGAGCCUAAGUCGGAUUAGCUAGAUGGUGGGGUAAAGGCCUACCAUGGCGACGAUCUGUAGCUGGUCUGAGAGGAUGAUCAGCCACACCGGGACUGAGACACGGCCCGGACUCCUACGGGAGGCAGCAGUGGGGAAUAUUGGACAAUGGGGGCAACCCUGAUCCAGCCAUGCCGCGUGUGUGAAGAAGGCCUUUUGGUUGUAAAGCACUUUAAGCAGUGAAGAAGACUCCGUGGUUAAUACCCACGGACGAUGACAUUAGCUGCAGAAUAAGCACCGGCUAACUCUGUGCCAGCAGCCGCGGUAAUACAGAGGGUGCAAGCGUUAAUCGGAAUUACUGGGCGUAAAGCGAGCGUAGGUGGCUUGAUAAGUCAGGUGUGAAAUCCCCGGGCUUAACCUGGGAACUGCAUCUGAUACUGUUAGGCUAGAAUAGGUGAGAGGAAGGUAGAAUUCCAGGUGUAGCGGUGAAAUGCGUAGAGAUCUGGAGGAAUACCGAUGGCGAAGGCAGCCUUCUGGCAUCAUAUUGACACUGAGGUUCGAAAGCGUGGGUAGCAAACAGG